UUUUGUCAAGUUUAACAACAAUAAUAUCGUCAGAUUCACUACAAGGCACACAGGAAACACCUUUUCUUAAAUCAUUUUCAGCAAGAAUGCAGACCCCUCCUGAGCGAGAGUUUUUGCGGUUGCUAUUAAAGGAAAGGUAUCCUUCGAUUUUAACCUGCUUCUUAGUUUCUUGGAGACACAGAAUGUUUGCUUGUUUGAGGAUUGUCAGAAAUUCGUUAUUUUCAAAUUUGUUAGAUCCGUCUCCUGUACUGUCCUGAAUGUUCCAGGACAUUACAGCGACUUGAUCUCGUGAGGCUUGUUUGUUUUUGAAUUUUAGGGUUAUUCUAGCGCUCUGUAGAGGGCUGCAUUCUAUGGGAUCUCAUACCAAAGGCACGAUAAAGGCCAAGUUUUAUGUUAACACAAAGUUUUUUAGACCGUACUCUGAGACAUGACGUUGGUCUUCCUUCAGUGGGUUAGGAGAGUCUUGGGAUGACCCGGCAGCAGAGAUGGCACGGGAAAAGUUUCCAGUGUUGUUUACAGUGAAGAGGCGCCGGUAUAAGUCACUUAGUUCUCUUUUAGUGAACUUUUAUAAACGUUUCCUUCGUGUCUUACGUAAUUACCAAGAAUGUUGAUUCACGAUGUCAGGCCCAGUGGUGCAUCUCGCUACAACCAAGAAUGUGGCUUGGAGAUUGGUUAAUUUGUCUUAUGGUUAUUUUUAGAUUAACUAACUAUACUAGCAUGGAUUAACCUGAAUUUGUGUGCUCGUUUACAUUUUGUUGUGAUUUGUACUUCCAUUUUUAUUGACACUGCAGCAUAGGAUUAGUGCUAUAGUUUAUAGUGUGUGUAAUUUACGAUGUUGCCCACGUAAAACAACAUACUGAAAUAAUAUCCAAGGUUGAUAGGACUUAAUAACUACCACAUUUACAGGAAGUAUGGUAAUACAUUCUUGUCAGCUGUCUGGGCAAAUCUUCUCUCGCAGAAUUGGAUUACAAUUGAAUGUCUUUUAUCUCUCACUUCUAACGAUGUCGCAAUCAGGCUAGACUGCACAGGUAAGAUUUGAAGUGAUAAUGAGAUUCAAUUAAUAAAUUUUAGAUUGCAGCUUGAUAUCACUAAGUAUUUACAUUGUGCACUGUAGCAAGGGUAGAACUUAUGAGAAUGCUAUCCUUGCACUAUAUUAUUAUGGGUUCAUCAAAGUUCGUAUCAUGAUUUUUCACAAAAACCUACCACUCCCUCUUCCUUGAUGAGAAGUAGAUCCAUCUGGAACAGUGAGCUACUUCUUCCCUACUAUCCCGUACUAGCCUACUCAGCUCUCUAAAAACUGUUAACAGAUUCCAGGUGCUAAAACUUUAAACGCAAAAUUAUAACAGCACCAUUCUUGCGCUUUAAUCUCAGUCUGCUGUAAGACUGCUGUACAGGUAGAGUUUUUACUCGUAUGAUUCAGCAAUCUGUUUUUUAGAUGGUACCGUUACCUCCCGCCAUAAGACUGUGCCGUCUUGGUGACCUUGAGAAUAUUAUAAGGCCCGAUAUAUGACAACACUAUCCAAUAUCGAGACCCACUCAGGAUCCCAAACCACGACUCCUUUCGGUCGUCUGUACCUGCUUUUUCCCUCCCAGCCUAGCAGUCAAUGAACUGUCUUCCAUCGCUGGCCUUGUUUUUAUUUAAGUGUUCACUCGGCGCUCACAAGAUAACAUGUUCAGAGAUCUGUUGCAGAACCUUGUCGUGCCGUCAUUUAUAUACUCCUCGACUAAGAGCUACUUUACACCUACAGCUUAAAUGUACUAAAUGGUACCCAUCCUCUCCUCACAUUACUUGUACUUACCAUCCUCAUCUUCACCAUAGAGGGGGUUAAAAGGGUGCCUAGCAUGAACGUGUGUCGAACUACAUUGCGUGUACCCUUAAUUGAGACAGAAUUUUAAUAAAUCAACAAAUUCUUAGAAUUUAAAAAAGUAGAUUUCAAUAAAUUCCAUUCUAUGGCAUUUAAUGCAAUCUACUUUUUAAAAGAUGAGAAUUGGUUUCAAUUUCUAGAAUAUCACGAAAAUGUUGACUCAAAACUGUUUCAGGAAGCUAUCAAUAGUCUCAAGAUAUGACAUAAUUUGGCAGAAUGAUAGUACUUUGAAGUCGAGUUCUCGAUACAGGGAGCUGCUGGUAAACUACCGUCGCUAUACAUGGACUAUGACUACAGUCUACAAUCCUACUCUUUUAACAAAUUACAUACAUAUAUUGAGAGGACUACUUCAUCACAAGCAAAAAAAUUGCCAUCGGUAAAUAAGGUCUGUCUUCUAUAACCACGAUGAAAAGAAAAGCUGGGCGAAAACAUUUGAGACUGCAGAACUGGAACACUCUUUAUUUGAAGACAGUGACUGCUGAGCUGUAUCAAAUCUAUUAGCAUCAUUGCAACUUCGAUCAGAAACAUAAUUUAAAAACUAUGGCAAUGGAAGUCAGCCGAUGUCAGAGUAAAAGCCAGCCGAAGUCCCGGGGUUGUGAAAUUUGCAUAAAGGGUAGGCAGCGGCAGCUCUCCUAGCAUCCCCCCGCUUGUCUGGAGUCCUAAACUUCUCAAUCAGGCUAGUAAUUGAAUAUAGUCCAUUUUAGAUUCACAUUUUACCUUAUAACUUUAAAUUGUUAUCAUUGAUCCAUUCUCUCCCUCUGAUCUUUAUUGGUACUUAAUUUACCCGCAGACAAGUUUAACUCCCCUCUGCCCGUCUCUAUUUUCAGGCCGUUACAUUCCAUUUUACGGGGAAUGUCUGAUGACUGCUGCCUAGUACCCUGAUUGCCAUCCUGAUCAUUUGGUGUAACUUUGUCCAUUGAUGCAAGCUAACCCAACCCCACUUCUACCUACCUUCAUCACUGAAUUUCUUCUCAGUGCCUUUCAAGAGCAGAAAAAAUCACAUUCUCUCCCUCAUUAAUGACAAUGAAGAAGACUUCAAAGAUGCCAUUGAAAUCCUUCUGGAAGAUCAUCCGACAGAACCCCUUACCACUCCCUCUACAGAGUCCUUUCUCACUCCCAAACCUAUAUCACCGUCAACUUCUCCUGAGCCUAAGCAUUUUUCGGAUCUUGUGAAACACGUCUAGCUUGACCUUCCAGAGCCCCUGGUUGAUGGGGUAAUGAAAGAACUUAUAACGAUGAAGACCGCACAACAGUAAAGAAAGUAAAGACCUUGUGGCUGAGUCCCCGCAAUGAUUCGUAUAAGUAUGGAAGGGUGGUCAACUAGCCCGAGCCGAUCAACGAGUUCCCCAAAAUUGUCGAGCUGAUGAACCUUGUUAACAGCAAUAAGGCCACCUCUGGAAACAUGACAGCCUGUCUUGUCAGAUGUAUGUCCUGUAAAGGAGCUAACCUGAACUACCAUGACGACAACGAACCAUUGAUUGAUCAGGACAGUGACAUUUGUACGGUGUCGUUCGGUGCAGCAAGAACACUGGACUUUAUAAGGAACGACAACAACCCUACAGGCAGGAAAGGUACCCCUUCUUCCCCAGAAUUAUCUGUGCCAGCGACAGACCAGUCUCUCAAUAUCAUGAAGUCUGGUUGUCAAUCCAGACUACUGCAUAGAAUUCCUCCGGGUGGUGUUAGAUACAGUCUUUCCUUUAGGAACCUAACUGACCCACACCACUCCUACCUCUUCUCGUCCUUCUCCUCAUCAUCCUUCUACCCGUCCUCAUCAUCCUCCCCCUCCUAACACUGGCCUCCCGUUAGCCCCCCUAAGAAGAAGAUCAUACUCCUCGCUGGAGAUACUUCGAGCGACUGGAAAUAUAAAACCCCACCAAGGGUGAACAGACAGUUUUCAAAGUCGCUAUAAGUAUAAAGGGUGGUCGCAAGAUUGAUGCUGUAUUACACUUAAUCGAGCAAUUUGUGAGACCACCCUGAUUUAGAGAUUAAGAAACUGUUUGUGUGUGUAGGAACUAACGACAUACGAUACUGUCAGACUGGCAUUAUACACCUUAAAAGCCCUCUGCAGAACUUUAUGUCCAAAAUUAAAUCCUUAGCUCCCUCAGCAAAUAUCUUUGUCCAGUCCCUUCUCCCUAUACCUGCUAACGGUAACCCCCAAAGGCUCAAAGGAGAACAAAAUGUGGUCUCUAUGAACAAAUUACUCUUUAGUCUUUGUUCCAAAUUUAAAUUAUUUUACCUUGAUGUCUUUAGUAGUUUCCUUAGUUCAUGGGGCGACAGGAACUACCAGUUAUUUCCUAAGUAUAGUCUAGAAUCGAAGAAGUGGGAUAUUCACGCCAAUGCUAGUGGUAUGGGUGUGUUAGCAAGACACUAUAUCUUUCUCAUUCACUCAACAUGGUUUAAUCCGUUGGGUUACUAAGAUCGGUAUAAGUAUGAUUCACAUUUUCUUAGAUAAAUUAUUUAGAUGUAAUAAAAAGUAAAUUCUGAGUGAUAGAUACACCUGGGUAAAACACGACCGUGACAUUGCUACACAUGGGAAUAAAAUUAAAUGACCAGCAACACUGCAUAUGAACCGGGAAGUUAAAUUCUGUUGCUCGAAAAGUUUGUGGUAAAAGAAAAGUUUGCUACGUGUCUGUGUUGUCCAAGUUAUGUUCACCCAUUGGAUUAUUUGUCAGUUCACUAAUUGUAUAUCUGUAUAUUUUGUUAUUUCGUUGGAUCUAUCAACACGUGUGGAUGCAGAAAUUUCAACUCUAGAUAUCAUACUAACCUACAUAAGUUUAAUUGUCUCGCAGUCUCGUGUGUAAACGACGAUUUGAUUAGGAAAACUUAUACGGAGGAGAUAUAGGUCAUGAUUUAAUAUGAUAAUGAAUAAUUCACACGCCAUUUCAAUUUAGGUAACAGGACAUCUGUCUGACAGCACUAUUUCCUUGUGUUUGAAGUGAUAUCUCAAAUUUGGCACAUAGAAACUCGCUCAAACUUACACAGAUUAUCCGUCCUCAAACCAUCAUACUUAAUGGAAAGUUUCAAGAAAAUCGUACAGUAGGAUACGAAUAAACUAUUGUCCGAAUAACCUAUUUUCUGAGUCGGACAGAUGUCGCCCAAUCAGUUUAAUGUGGUUACCGUCUCUAAAGUUGGCACGAGAGUUAUUAAUCUCCUAUCUAACAUCUAUUCGAAGUCAAUCCUGUAAACUGAUACUCCUUUUUUAGUAAUUUAUACAUGUG